AUUGAACGCUGGCGGUAUGCUUAACACAUGCAAGUCGAACGGCAGCGCGGGGAGCUUGCUCCCUGGCGGCGAGUGGCGGACGGGUGAGUAACGCGUAGGAAUCUGCCCAGUGGUGGGGGACAACCAGAGGAAACUCUGGCUAAUACCGCAUAAGCCCCAUGGGGGAAAGCGGGGGAUCUUCGGACCUCGCGCCAUUGGAUGAGCCUGCGUCGGAUUAGCUUGUUGGUGAGGUAAAAGCUCACCAAGGCGACGAUCCGUAGCUGGUCUGAGAGGACGAUCAGCCACACUGGGACUGAGACACGGCCCAGACUCCUACGGGAGGCAGCAGUGGGGAAUAUUGGACAAUGGGCGAAAGCCUGAUCCAGCAAUACCGCGUGUGUGAAGAAGGCCCUAGGGUUGUAAAGCACUUUCAGUUGGGAAGAAAAGCCUACCCUUAAUACGGGUGGGUAAUGACGUCACCAACAGAAGAAGCACCGGCUAACUCUG
rnacentral:rRNA from 1 species